rnacentral:rRNA from 1 species
UACAGAGGGUGCGAGCGUUGUCCGGAAUCACUGGGCGUAAAGGGCGCGUAGGUGGCGACCCAAGUCGAUGGUGAAAGCUCGCCGCUCAACGGCGAGUCGGCCACCGAUACUGGGUUGCUGGAGCACUGUAGAGGCUCAUGGAAUUCCGGGUGUAGCGGUGGAAUGCGUAGAGAUCCGGAAGAACACCGGUGGCGAAGGCGGUGAGCUGGGCAGUUGCUGACACUGAGGCGCGGAAAGCGUGGGGAGCGAACAGG